rnacentral:tRNA from 1 species
GGAUAGUAGCUCAGUGGUUAGAGCGGAAGUUAAAUCUUCAAUGUCGCAGGUUCGAUUCCUGCCUAUCCCC